GAUGGCAGGAGAACUGCAUCAGAGAGACCAACUGGCGGCUUCGGCAGUGGUGUCUCGAGGCAGGCUUCGGAUUCUUGGACAAUGACCCGCACAUCACGACGAGGGACAUGCUCAGCUGGGAUGGGCUUCACCUGUCCCCCAAAGAGCCUGCCACCUUGUCAUAGAAGGAAAGCCUCAGGAGCCAGGAACAGAGAGGAGAGGAAGGUACUGGGCACAUGUGUGCCCCCUUACCUGACCUGAGGUGGAGGUGGAAGCAGCAGUGGAGCCAGCAGUGGGGGCAGUAACAGCUGUUCCCCCAAAGGGCCAAGAACCAAAGGGAGAAGAACCCCAGGAGGGUGCCCUCCACAGCGGAAUGGCAGACAGUGCCCUCCAGAGCCAGGGCUGCUGGCAUCAGUGCAGUACCAGUUCCCCCGUCCAGCUGGAGAAUAGGUAUGGGGCCCUGGCAGUACUGGAGGAAGAGGAAGGAGAGGAGGACACCUCUGGAGAGGGGGCCAGUCUACAUGAAGAACAGGCUGAAGGAGGCAACCUGAACCUGAAGAAGAGACGCCGGGUACUCAUCAUAGGCAACUCUAUCCUAAGAGGUUCAGAGGGUCCUAUUGUAGCAAAACCCCUAGUUUUUCUUUUUUAAAACACAUAUAUGCAUUCCCUUCCCUUCCCCAACUCUUUCUGACUUUUUCUCUCCCUCUAUAUUCCCUAUAGACAAGCAUAAAUGAGCCCAGAUUUAGGAUAAGCUUUAACAUUUUUAUUUUAGUAGCAAGUUUUUGGUUUUGGAUAUCUGCUGUUUUAUAUUGUAUAAUUAUUAGGUUUGUAUUGAUUUUUACUGUUGUAUAUUGUAUUAUUACCAUUUUUGUAUUUUUUUUUUUAUUGUUUUAUAUGGAUACUGUAUGGUUUAAGCCUGUGUUUGUAAGUGAACCAGUCAUGUCAAGUUUCCAUUUUAUGUGUCAAACCUCCACCUUCUGUCCUCUACCCAGGCAUCCUGUUUUGCAACUAUAUGAUUCAUUGUACCCCUCCCAUGUAAAUUGGUUCCUGGAUGAAUGAGAAUGAUUGGGAAUGAUUGAAAUACAAUGGUAGCAGGCCUCUACUUAAUGGCCUGUAAUGACUGGGCCAUCACCUCGCAUUGAUUCAUCCAGGAACCAUGGACCUCACCCAGGAACAGAGACAAGAUCCCAUCAUUUGAAAGACAGAAGACCCUGCAGAACCAGCAAAUCUGCCAUUGCACUCCACCAUUACAGACACCCAAAACUGCACAUUCCUGCAUGGAGCACACAUGCUCAGUACUCCAGGGGCUGACCCUUGCCUGGGCAUGCCUCCCUUCACUAGGAUCACACAAGGUCUGCCCCUAUAAAAAGGGGCAGUGAAGACAGGCGCAGUGGAAAUGCCAUUUCCAUCCCGACCAGACCAGCUUCACAUCAGGUAUCCAUCCCAGAGGCCCUGCCUGUGACCCCCCUGGACAACAACAAGCUGAAGGAGACCCCAACUUGCCAUCAAAGAUCAACUUCCAGCCUGGUAUAGGUAGAUAUUACUUGCACACCUCCUCCAACAAUUUGGACUCUCUCUCUCUCUCUGUCUCUCUCUUUCUCCUCCUGGACUUCAGAGGACUUCAGGCCCUGCACCAAGCUUCUCUAACCCCUGCUGCCAUUGUGGGUGUGGGUGUGGGUGUGGGUGUGGGUGCAAGGGAACCAAUAAGACAUUGUGUCACUAUCUCCCCUGUUCAA